ACCGUGAAUAAAUCCAGCGUAGACGCCCGGUACGCUAACAAUGCCGCCACGCCUGACCGCCGCAAUACACUGGCGCA
rnacentral:tRNA from 1 species